rnacentral:lncRNA from 1 species
CUUCCAAAGCAUCUAGGUUGCUCUUCAAUUUCUCCCCGUUAUCCUUCUCAUCAUAAUAUUGUAAUAUUUAGCUCCAUAGGAACCAUAAAUUCGAUUCCAUAUGCCAAAAAAAAUGGUGUUUCUCCUCUUUUGAGUGUCCAUGAGACUAAGUUUUAACCGAUAUCUGGGCCUACCAUUGGUUAUUGGAAGGAAUCAGAAGGAAGUUUUCAGUUAUGUGCUUGAUAAAGUUUGGAAGAGAGUGCAGGGAUAGAAAGGUUCCUUGUUAUCGCGAGCUAGCAAGGAGG